CCGGAGAAUGUUAUCACGGGAGACACACGGCGGGUGCUAACGUCCGUCGUGAAGAGGGAAACAACCCAGACCGCCAGCUAAGGUCCCAAAGUCAUGGUUAAGUGGGAAACGAUGUGGGAAGGCCCAGACAGCCAGGAUGUUGGCUUAGAAGCAGCCAUCAUUUAAAGAAAGCGUAAUAGCUCACUGGUCGAGUCGGCCUGCGCGGAAGAUGUAACGGGGCUAAACCAUGCACCGAAGCUGCGGCAGCGACGCUGAUGCGUUGUUGGGUAGGGGAGCGUUCUGUAAGCCUGUGAAGGUGKSYYGUGAGGSWUGCUGGAGGUAUCAGAAGUGCGAAUGCUGACAUAAGUAACGAUAAAGCGGGUGAAAAGCCCGCUCGCCGGAAGACCAAGGGUUCCUGUCCAACGUUAAUCGGGGCAGGGUGAGUCGACCCCUAAGGCGAGGCCGAAAGGCGUAGUCGAUGGGAAACGGGUUAAUAUUCCCGUACUUGGUGUUACUGCGAAGGGGGGACGGAGAAGGCUAUGUUGGCCGGGCGACGGUUGUCCCGGUUUAAGCGUGUAGG
rnacentral:rRNA from 1 species